AGAGUUUGAUCCUGGCUCAGGAUGAACGCUAGCGGCAGGCUCAACACAUGCAAGUCGAACGGUAACAUUCUCAGCUUGCUGAGAGAUGACGAGUGGCGCACGGGUGCGUAACGCGUAUGCAACCUACCUUGUACAUAGGGAUAGCCCAGAGAAAUUUGGAUUAAUACCUUAUAGUAUGUUGAGAUCGCAUGGUCUAAACAUUAAAGCUUCGGUGGUACAAGAUGGGCAUGCGUGACAUUAGCUAGUUGGUAAGGUAACGGCUUACCAAGGCUACGAUGUCUAGGGGUUCUGAGAGGAUGAUCCCCCACACUGGUACUGAGACACGGACCAGACUCCUACGGGAGGCAGCAGUGAGGAAUAUUGGGCAAUGGAGGCAACUCUGACCCAGCCAUGCCGCGUGCAGGAAGAAUGUUUUAUGAAUUGUAAACUGCUUUUGUAUGGGAAGAAAUGUUUCUACGUGUAGAGAUUUGCCGGUACCAUACGAAUAAGCACCGGCUAACUCCGUGCCAGCAGCCGCGGUAAUACGGAGGGUGCAAGCGUUAUCCGGAUUCAUUGGGUUUAAAGGGUACGUAGGUGGAUUUUUAAGUCAGAGGUGAAAUCCUGCAGCUCAACUGCAGAACUGCCUUUGAUACUGGAAAUCUUGAGUUCAGUUGAAGUGGGCGGAAUAUGACAUGUAGCGGUGAAAUGCAUAGAUAUGUCAUAGAACACCGAUAGCGAAGGCAGCUCACUAAACUUAGACUGACACUGAUGUACGAAAGCGUGGGGAGCGAACAGGAUUAGAUACCCUGGUAGUCCACGCUGUAAACGAUGUUCACUCGCUGUUAGCAAUACACAGUUAGCGGCCAAGCGAAAGCAUUAAGUGAACCACCUGGGGAGUACGAUCGCAAGGUUGAAACUCAAAGGAAUUGACGGGGGCCCGCACAAGCGGUGGAGCAUGUGGUUUAAUUCGAUGAUACGCGAGGAACCUUACCAGGGCUUAAAUGCAGAAUGACAGAACUGGAAACAGUUUUUUCUUCGGACAAUUUGCAAGGUGCUGCAUGGUUGUCGUCAGCUCGUGCUGUGAAGUGUCGGGUUAAGUCCCAUAACGAGCGCAACCCCUAUCUUUAGUUGCCAGCGGGUAAUGCCGGGGACUCUAGAGAAACUGCCAGCGCAAGCUGUGAGGAAGGUGGGGAUGACGUCAAAUCAUCACGGCCCUUACGUCCUGGGCUACACACGUGCUACAAUGGUAGAUACAGAGGGCAGCUACCUGGUGACAGGAUGCGAAUCUCGAAAGUCUAUCUCAGUUCGGAUUGGAGUCUGCAACUCGACUCCAUGAAGCUGGAAUCGCUAGUAAUCGCGCAUCAGCCAUGGCGCGGUGAAUACGUUCCCGGGCCUUGUACACACCGCCCGUCAAGCCAUGGAAGCUGGGGGUACCUGAAGUCGGUGACCUAUUUAUAGGAGCUGCCUAGGGUAAAACUGGUAACUGGGGCUAAGUCGGAACAAGGUA
rnacentral:rRNA from 1 species